ensembl:lncRNA
AGACAACAACAAACAAAAAACAUACCAUUAAGAGCUGUGCUUGCACAGGUUCUGCUCGAUCCUCUUCACUAAAGUCUCAAUCGGGCUCAAAUUGAUAAGCAAUACAACCGGAGCACAUGCUGCUGAGGUGAGGGGCGGGACAUAUCGAUGUGCACUAGAGGUGGUUUAGCCAAUACCAACACACUGGACUAGCUAAGCAAUCAGAGCCCGUUGCGUAUUUCUGAGGGAGGGGCUUCAUAAAAGCAGGAAAUUAUCAGCACGUUUAUAGGAGAAGGGACAGAGCAGUGUGGAAUAAAGGUAAAUAAUUAUGUGAAAAAUUAAGGUUUCUUUUCUUUUUUUUUUUAAAUGAAGCAUUAACACAUGUUAGACCACACCCCAUUGACACAAUCAAGCCUCGGAAAAAAGAAAAACCUCACCCACCCCUUUAAGCAUUACUUGAGAGAUUUGUUUUAAUCCUCAGAGUCCUCUUCUUUUUUUCUGGCCUUCCAUCCAUCCUUCAGCUGCCUUUUUUUUUUUUUUUGGCAGUAGUCGCUCUUUUUCCAUGUUCAUUACAGCACUAAGAGAGGAGAGGCAGGGAAGACAGAAUUAGAGACACUGCAUUAAUUCACCAGAGAAUAUUACGUUUGUCUUCCUGAGCAGCAGUGGGACACAGCAGUGCAAUACACUCCCAAAAGCCCCCAAGCUCCUGUUUCAAAGGGGAACCGCUCAAAACUGUCUGCGAAUCAUGAUAUUUAAAAUAUACAUUUGCAUCAGUGUUUCCACAGGCUUGGGAAAGUGGAUACGGCAAAGACUCCAUUAUGUUGCAGCAUGGUUUAUUAGCUCUGCCUUAGGAUUGCAAGUGUCCUGUCCUGCAAGUGCACAGGUGAGGGAGUGAGUGGAAGCUGGUGGAGCUGCUCAGGGAGAACAUCAAAUUCCAGAGAGAGACAGAGGAGAGAAGAGCAGGGAGAGCAUGGAGAGAAUGGAGGGAAUGGAGGGAGAAUGUUUUCUCUUCUUGAGAAAAUGCUUAACAAAAACAUUAUUUAUUAGCCAUUCUCUAUUAGCCAAGAGAAAACAGUGGAACAAAUGAAUGGAUAGUUGUAUACAUUAUUCAUUUUUGUAGUGUAAUUUAUUUGUAAAUGAGCCUGAGUACUUUCUGUACAUUUUGUAUUUUUGUUUUGCAUAUUCACGUGUAAAUAAAAGAGAAGUAAUUAUGUACA